rnacentral:rRNA from 1 species
AUUGAACGCUAGCGGGAUGCUUUACACAUGCAAGUCGAACGAGUGGCGGACGGGUGAGUAAUCUAUCGGAACGUGCCCAGUAGAGGGGGAUAACUACUAGAAAGAGUGGCUAAUAACGCAUACUAUGGGAGCGGCCCAUAUUGGAUUAGCUCGUGGGUGGGGUAAAGGCUCAACAAGGUGACGAUCCGUAGCAGGUGUGAGAGGAUGAGCAGCCACACUGGGACUGAGACACGGUCCAGACUCCUACGGUAGGCAGCAGUGGGGAAUUUUGGACAAUGGGGGCAAGCCUGAUCCAGCCAUGCCGCGUGUAUGAGAAGGCCUUCGGGUUGUAAAGUACUUUUGGCAGAGAAGCGGUAUCUGCAGAAGAAGCACCGGCUAACUACGUGCCAGCAGCCGCGGUAAUUC